rnacentral:rRNA from 1 species
CCUACGGGGGGCAGCAGUGGGGAAUAUUGCACAAUGGGGGAAACCCUGAUGCAGCGACGCCGCGUGAGUGAAGAAGGAUUUCGGUACGUAAAGCGCUAUCAGCAGGGAAGAAAAUGACGGUAACUGACUAAGAAGCCCCGGCUAACUACGUGCCAGCAGCCGCGGUAAUACGGAGGGGGCAAGGGUUAGCCGGAUUUACUGGGUGGAAAGGGAGCGGAGACGGGUGCACAAGUCUGGAGUGAAAUCCCAUGGGUUAACCAUGGAACUGCUUUGGAAACUGUGCAGCUAGAGUGCAGGAGAGGUAAGCGGAAUUCCUAGUGUAGCGGUGAAAUGCGUAGAUAUUAGGAGGAACACCAGUGGCGAAGGCGGCUUACUGGACUGUAACUGACGUUGAGGCUCGAAAGCGUGGGGAGCAAACAGGAUUAGAUACCCCUGUAGUC